rnacentral:sRNA from 1 species
GCCAGGUGCGGUGGCCCACGCCUGCAAUCCCAGUAGCUCUGGAGGCUGAGGCUGGAGGAUCUCGAGUUCAAAGCCAGCCUCAG